rnacentral:rRNA from 1 species
AGAGAACGCCGGCGGCCUGCUUAACACAUGCAAGUCGCACGGGCAGCAAUGCCUGUGGCGGACGGGUGAGUACCGCGUAGGAACAUGUCCUGAGGUGGGGGACAACCCCGGGAAACAUGGGCUAAUACCGCAUAUCGGCCGAAGCCGCACGCAGUGACGCGCCUUUGGGGUUGCGUGCGUCCGAUGAGGUAGUUGGUGGGGUAAAGGCCGACCAAGUCAGCGUUCGGUAUCUGGUCUGCGAGGCCGACCAGCCACACUGGGACUGAGACACGGCCCAGACUCCUACGGGAGUCAGCAGUGGGGAAUAUUGGACAAUGGAGGCAACCCUGAUCCAGCAAUGCCGCGUGGGUGAAGAAGGUCUUCGGAUCGUAAAGCCCUUUCAGCGGGGACGAUGAUGACGGUACCCGCAGAAGAAGCCCCGGCUAACUUCGUGCCAGCCGCCGCAGUAAGAC